ACACUUCACUGGCAGGGAUAUAACAUAAUCACAGAGGUGGUUUUUCUUGAGUAGACUGACCCGUGCACUCCAGAUGUGGCGACCUCUGUGAUUUCCCCAAAUGUGGGAAACUUGCUUACAUAGUGUGUGGUCAUGGGGAAUUGCAUUUGAGCUCUUGCCUA
ensembl:snRNA U1 U1 spliceosomal RNA